rnacentral:rRNA from 1 species
UACGGGGGGGGCAAGCGUUGUUCGGAAUUACUGGGCGUAAAGGGGACGUAGGCGGCCAACUAAGUCCGACGUGAAAUCCCAAGGCUUAACCUUGGAACUGCGUCGGAUACUGGAUGGCUUGAAUUCGGGAGAGGGAUGCAGAAUUCCAGGUGUAGCGGUGAAAUGCGUAGAUAUCGGGAGGAAUACCGGUGGCGAAGGCGGCUUCCUGGACCGACAUUGACGCUGAAAGCCGAAAGCGAGGGGAGCAAACGGG